CAGUAGCCGCGGGAAUACGUAGGGUGCGAGCGUUAAUCAGAAUUACUGGGCGUAAAGCGUGCGCAGGCGGUUCGUUAAGACAGAUGUGAAAUCCCCGGGCUUAACCUGGGAACUGCAUUUGUGACUGGCGAGCUAGAGUAUGGCAGAGGGGGGUAGAAUUCCACGUGUAGCAGUGAAAUGCGUAGAGAUGUGGAGGAAUACUGAUGGCGAAGGCAGCCCCCUGGGCCAAUACUGACGCUCAUGCACGAAAGCGUGGGGAGCAAACAGGAUUAGAUACCCCUGUAGUCCCUGUCUCUUAUAA
rnacentral:rRNA from 1 species